rnacentral:rRNA from 1 species
GGGGAAUAUUGCACAAUGGGCGCAAGCCUGAUGCAGCCAUGCCGCGUGUGUGAAGAAGGCCUUCGGGUUGUAAAGCACUUUCAGCGAGGAGGAAGGGUAGCGUGUUAAUAGCACAUUGCAUUGACGUUACUCGCAGAAGAAGCACCGGCUAACUCCGUGCCAGCAGCCGCGGUAAUACGGAGGGUGCAAGCGUUAAUCGGAAUUACUGGGCGUAAAGCGCACGCAGGCGGUUUGUUAAGUCAGAUGUGAAAUCCCCGCGCUUAACGUGGGAACUGCAUU